CCGACGGUGAGGGGUGAAAGCUGGGGGCACGAACCGGAUUAGAUACCCGGGUAGUCCCAGCCGUAAACGAUGCUCGCUAGGUGUCUGGGAUGGUGCGACCGUUUCAGGUGCCGCAGGGAAGCCGUGAAGCGGGCUACCUGGGAAGUACGGCCGCAAGGCUGAAACUUAAAGGAAUUGGCGGGGGAGCACUACAACGGGUGGAGCCUGCGGUUUAAUCGGACUCAACGCCGGAAAUCUCACCGGAUAA
rnacentral:rRNA from 1 species